ensembl:lncRNA
GGCCGGGAAGAGGUCAGGGAGAAAGGGGGCCACGGGGAUCCGGGGCGUGGGACUCGGGCCCCGGCCUGAGUCUUAGGUAUCCGUAGCGCCCUCCUUCUUCCUCCUCUUCGCUGAAUACAGCUCACGGUAAGUACUGGUUCACACAGUUCGUUCCUUGGGUGCUCACUCGCUUUCUCUUUCUCCACAGGUAGCGGCGUAAGUACAGUUUUCCUCGGUCUCUCCUCGUGUUACCCACUCUCUCUCCUUUUCUCUCCACAGGUAUCAACUUAGGCACAAUAGCACAGUUAGUUUGCUUUGAAUGGCUCUCACCUCUGGGCUGGACACAGCGUACUGUAAGUACAGGUUCCCUCUGGUUCUCCUUGUGUUACUCACUCUCUCUUUCCUUUUCUCUCCACAGGUAUCAACUUGGGCACAAUAGCACAGUUAGUUUGCUUUGAAUGGCUCUCACCUCUGGGCUGAACACAGCGUACUGUAAGUACAGGUUUCCUCUGUUUCUCCUUGUGUUACUCACUCUCUCUUUCCUUUUCUCUCCACAGGUAUCAACUUGGACACAAAGCACAGUUACUCUGCUUUGGAUGGCUUUCACCUCUGGGCUGGACACAGCGUACCAUGCUAUCUCCGGAGAUCUGAAGCACGCUCACAACAUAUACUGUACUGAACUAGGCUAGGACCAGCAGUCUCCUUGUCCUCCCGCGACGAAGUGCGUGAAGGCGGGGGUUUAUCUGACAGGACACACGGCAAUACACAGCAGCCCACAGCAAUAUACAACACCACGUCAAAAUUAUAGGUUUUCACAGCACGAAGACUCACCCACCACACUCAGUGUACGAAAAGGACACCCGUCUUCCUUCACUUCGCUUGGUUCGGAUCUGGCGAUGGAAUAUGCGGCCUAGCUAGUGAUGUCGUCGUUGUGACUACUUCAAUAAGUAUUCCUUCGGCUCUCCCACCACGCUAUAUUAGGGGUAGGGCCGCCCUCCUCCUCCUGGAGAGAUCUACACAACGCCAGGUCAAUAUACAGGGCACUUUCGACUGGCUCUUAGUACUCACAUCAAUGCCG